CCAGCUAGUUACUCAAGUAGGCUGGAUCUAGGAAUUAUUCAUUUAACUACUAUCCUUCUUGAAAAUACUUAAAAAUUUUUCUUUUCUCUCAUUUUCAAGUAUUUUUAUUACAUGGUUCAAGUUUUCAAUUUGCAGUUUUGUAUUUUUCCUUGUUAUAAAGUUGUGUUUAGUAUCUGACCCUAAGACAACUGUCAUCCCCUUUAUACUAAAAUAGCAGUUUAAUGCAGUGGCAAGAAAAUAAAAUUCAACAUUUCUGAAAUACAAAAGAUGAGGUCUUAUUGCCAACCAUCUCUGUGGGAAGCCCGGUCAGUGUAGCUGGGCAUAUAAAGCAAACUGGAGACAUGACUUUUUCUCCUUGAACAAAUAAGAAAAUGUGUUUGGAAAGCUGUGAAAAUCUGAAAAGAGAAUGAGGGAUCUGCAUUUUAGAGUGUUAGGGGAAAUUAAAAUCUGUUUGUACUCUGUGUGUGUGCAUAUGCAUACAUAUAUGUGAAAGUGUGUGCCUGGGCAUCUCUGAAGGUGUGUGGGUGUCUGUGAAUGCAUGUGUAUUAGGGGGGUGUGUGUGUGUGCCUUUGAAAGAUGUAACACUUACUGACUACCAGAGGAGUUGACUCAGUGGGUUGUUUGACACAAAAGGAUGAGCUCAAUUGAUGAGAUCAAUUUUCUGGUUUAUGCUUCUUCAAAUCAUUGAGCUGAUGACACUGAGAAGGAAAAACAAUGUCCAAGGAAGAAAGAAAAUCAUGUUUCUCAUGAAAAGGUCUGUCAUAUUUAGCACAUAAAAGUACAGGACUCCGUUAAAAUUGACCUCUCACUAAAAUUAAACAAUAAUUUUUUAGUAUAAAUAUGUCCCAUAUUUGGGACAUCUUUUACCAAAAAAAUUACUUAUCUGAAAUUCACAUCUUACAGGACAUGCUGUAAACCUAACCAUGAAAGAGAAUGAAGGUAAAUAGCUGUUGAUUUUUUAAAAAAUCUUUUAAAAUCCACAAACCUUUUGUGGACUAGAAAGGAUUUUUGGUUCUGGCUGGGGCAUCACUCAUUUUUUUUUUUUCUCUCUCUCUCUCUUUCAUGUAGUUUCUUAAGAAUUUGGCACCACCAUCUGUGAAAAGGGGAACUAAUCUGAUAAGCACUCUGUCAUCUCCCCAGGGGAAAACCCUGUAGAAUUUCACAUCUGUAUCCCCAAGUAUAAUUGCCUGGGGUACCUCCUCUUCAUUCUCCACUCCAGUAAAAAAAUCAAUUAAUACUUUUAAAAAAGGAUUCUUAUAAUAUGUCUUAAUAGACAGUCAGUAUCCUGUGGUGUUUAAUUUCUUCUUUCUUUUUCCUCUCUCUCUAGCUUGCAUGGAGACAGAGUUCUCCUUUGAGGGGAGUAGCAAACUGUGGCAAGUCUUUGGAAGAAGUAGAACACUGAUGGGAAUUCAGAGAGGAAACUUCCCAUGAGCCCUGGGAAGCUGGAAGCAGGCACAGCCUUGCUCUCUACCAUUACAGUCAGGCUUCCUACAUGCAGCCAGCCUUUUAAGACCCAGCUCUGCAAGUUUCCCUGGUGGCUCAGAUGCUAAAGAGUCUGCCUGCAAUGCAGGAGACCCAGGUUCGAUCCCUGGGUUGGGAAGAUCUCCUGGAGAAGGAAACAGCAACCCACUGCAGUACUCUUGCAUGGAAAAUCCCGUGGACAGAGGAGCCUGGUGGGCUACAAUCCAUGGAGUCCCAAAGAGUUGGACCUGGCUGAGUGACUAACACUUUCACUUUUCUGCAAGCCUAGCAGAAAAAGCAAGUUCUCUCAAUGCAUAUCAAAUGUCCAAGGGUCUGAUUCUUCUGCUUCGGAAAUAGGAUCCGAGACAGGGGGUUCCCACAUGCGUCAUAAACUCCUACAGACUAAUCAAACUGUUGUGAUUGUUCAUUUUCUCAGAAGUCCCAACUGAAGGUAUAAACAAUAAUGUCCUACUCACAAUAUAUGUCUGGUUCCUAUUUAAGUAUUACCUCCACUGUGGGAAACAUUGAAUUUCUAUACUUCUUCUACUCUACAACAGUCAUGUCUGCAUAUUGAUUUCCCUGAUGAUUAAGGUGGAAGUUGGUAAUAGUAGAGACUGCACCUCAUACAUUGUUGUUGAUGUUCAGUCACUAAGCCAUGUCUGACUCUUUGCAACCCCAGGAACCUGCAUACCAGGCUUCCCUGUCCUUUCCCAUCUCCCAGAGCUUGCUCAAACUCAUGUCCAUU